UGAGUAAAGCUUAAAAUUAUUAAAAAGAGUUUAAAAAAUAAAUUAUAAGCGUAAAAAAGUGAAUAUUUAGGUAAAUUGGUAGGUAAUUGUGUUCAAAUGGACAAGGAAAAUAUUCAGGCUUCCGGAUCUAAACAGUCGGCAAUGGACUCCAUUGAAUUUUCACCCACAAAGCAGCCAAGGCGGAUUUUUAAGAAAACGAAUCAACAAGAUAUGAUAGACGAAAUGAGAGCGGACAUUAAACGUUUGUGUGUCACCACGGAGCAGCUAAAAAAUGGGAUCUGCUCAUUGGCAGCAUUUUUUUCAAUAAAAUCAUAAAAAUUA